GUAGUCCACGCCCUAAACGAUGUCAACUAGUUGUCGGGACUUAAUUGUUUUGGUAACGCAGCUAACGCGUGAAGUUGACCGCCUGGGGAGUACGGUCGCAAGAUUAAAACUCAAAGGAAUUGACGGGGACCCGCACAAGCGGUGGAUGAUGUGGAUUAAUUCGAUGCAACGCGAAAAACCUUACCUACCCUUGACAUGGUCCGAACCCUGCAGAGAUGUGGGGGUGCUCGCAAGAGAACGGAUACACAGGUGCUGCAUGGCUGUCGUCAGCUCGUGUCGUGAGAUGUUGGGUUAAGUCCCGCAACGAGCGCAACCCUUGUCAUUAAUUGCCAUCAUUAAGUUGGGCACUUUAAUGAGACUGCCGGUGACAAACCGGA
rnacentral:rRNA from 1 species